GGGCCCUUGUUGCCUGUCAGCUUUUCCCUCACUUUCCUAUCAAUCUCCCAGCAAAUGCUGGACUGGCAGGGAGAUUGAUAGGAAAGUGGGGUAAAAGCUGGAAAGACACGUGGAGAUGA
rnacentral:precursor_RNA from 13 species